rnacentral:rRNA from 1 species
AUACGGAAGGUGCAAGCGUUAGUCGGAAUUACUGGGCGUAAAGGGUGCGUAGGCGGGACUAUAAGUCGGGCGUGAAAUUUUGGAGCUUAACUCCAAACUGCGUUCGAUACUGUAGUUCUAGAGGAAUGGCGGAGAGAAUGGAAUUCCAUAUGUAGCGGUGAAAUGCGUAGAUAUAUGGAAGAACACCUGUGGCGAAAGCGGUUCUCUAGCCUCCUCCUGACGCUGAGGCACGAAAGCAAGGGGAGC